UUAGCAAAGGGUGGAAAUUUCCACUGACGCACUGUUGAUAAGCCAAGGAGAAGGGGGGGGAAGGGAGGAUGAGCUGUUCCAGCAGAUCUUUCUGACUCCUCUCAGGAAAAGGUAUUUUAUCAAAAUUGCAGGCACUGGGAAAAACGUGGGGUUUCAAAAACAACCACCUCUCUCCAGCGUGAGCAAGGUUGCUUCUCUCUGCCACAACAAAACAAAAAAAAACCAACAAAAAAGAGAGAGAAGGGAGAAAGAAGCACCAUGAAAAAAAAAUAAUUUUGAUUUCUUCAGGAAAGAAAGAAGGGCUGGAAAAACAAUGAGCAGCACAAUGGACAAUGACAUCCCUGAGGAGAUGUGAACCCCUUCCCCUCAAAUGUCCACACUAAAAUCAGCUGCCAGGGGGUUUUUAAACCCUCAAACCUUCACUGCAGGCAGUGAUCUGUGACCCCACAACGCUGCUGUUUGUGGAGUAAACAACCCCAAAUCCCAGAGAGACAAAGCCAGGGAAAAAUACAGGAAUGCAGCAGGGAAACCACCUCGUUCUUGCAGACAGAAAUGCAAAAAGCAUUUGUGCUCUCUAGGAGUCACCAGGGGAGAAAUGCAGGAAAAUUCCACUGAUUCACCAUGAGCCCACAGUUAUUUUUGUCCUCCUGCUUGACUGCAAACACAAGGAUGAUUUAAAUGCAGGGGAGCAGACUGGAACACGUUAAAACAAUGCAUUAACUCCAAAAGAAAUUAAAAUAUAAGAUGGUCUCAAAUAAAAGAGGACGUGCCUUUGUAUAUGAGGAAAAUAAAAAUUUUUUUUUAAAAAAAGAGGACAAAACAAAGAGCCAGGUUUCAUUUCUGGAAUUUACCAUAUUCAAGCAGAAAUUGUUUGAAGCUUGAGUCCUAAGGAUGCUCAGAUCUGUUGCUUUCAGAUGGCCAGGGUAGGAUUUCAAGGAUGCUGGAUGAAAAUUCCCUUUGAAGCCCUCCAGGAAUAGAGCUCUGAGCCAAGGGGAACAGUGAAGGUAUGGUGGCCUUGGAAGAGGCUGUGGGGUCCCAAGGUUUUGGCCCCAAAAUGUCUCCCUUGUGUGAAGGUGGAAGAUCCAAGGGAAAGAAAAUGUUCUGAGGAACAGCAGAGGUGAAAAGGAGCAGAAAACACCUGGAGGAAACCACAGCAGGAGCAGGAGGAGUUCCACGUUGGCCUCAUUAAGGUUGUUUUGGAGCUGCCUUUGGAUCAUCCCCAAGGUGAAACUCCCCCCUCAGUGUGCUCCUAUCACUUUACAACCAGUUGGAAUCUGCUCCAGCUCAGGCCUGACCGGAUCUGCUCUGCUGUCCUCAGCCAGCCCCAGCCUGGAGAGCUCCUGGAGCAUCUCAAGCAGAGCCUGAGCUGAACAUUCCUUGCAUUCACAGCCUGGCACACACCUUAUUUAAAUCAGUUUGCUUCUGUUUGUGCCAGACAGAAACACCUCUGGGACCAAAAAAAACACCUUAAAAGAGAGUGAAAUGCAGCUCAUUAAUAACAAGUAGUGGUGAGGGAAAGAAAUACUUGGCACCAAGGUUGGGAAUCUUUAUUUAAAUACAUUUUUCCCCCAGUUUUUCGCAUUCUGGGCAAGUCAGGCUCAAAGUCUCACCUAAAUUUCCAUACCUGAAUUGUUACCAUUUCAAAUCGCUCACUGAAAUACUUAAAAACCAAAAUACUCGUGUUCCACUAUGAAUAAAAUGAAUGUGAAUGUG